rnacentral:rRNA from 1 species
UACGGAGGGUGCAAGCGUUAAUCGGAAUUACUGGGCGUAAAGGGUGUGUAGACGGUUUGAUAAGUUAAGUGUGAAAGACCUGGGCUUAACCUGGGGGUGUCACUUAAGACUGUUAGACUUGAGUAUGGGAGAGGGUAGUGGAAUUUCCGGUGUAGCGGUGAAAUGCGUAGAGAUCGGAAGGAACACCAGUGGCGAAGGCGGCUACCUGGCCCAGUACUGACGUUGAGGCACGAAAGCGUGGGGAGCAAACAGG